rnacentral:misc_RNA from 1 species
UAGAUUAAGCCGUUAUGGAAGGGAGAUAGUCCCUAAUUAGGCCGAGAAGUGUAAAAGUUUUGAAGAGGGGCUAAAUGACAACAUAAAGAUAAUGAUCACUACUUUGGGAAUCACAUACUUCACCAAGUUAGUAGAAGCUACAGUAAAAGUUGAGAAAAUCAGAAUAAGUGAGCAGACCAGAAGAGAGAGACAGCAGAAGAGG